UACGUAGGGUGCGAGCGUUGUCCGGAAUUAUUGGGCGUAAAGGGCUCGUAGGCGGUUUGUCGCGUCGGGAGUGAAAACCCAGGGCUUAACCCUGGGCUGGCUUUCGAUACGGGCAGACUAGAGGUAUGCAGGGGGAGAACGGAAUUCCUGGUGUAGCGGUGAAAUGCGCAGAUAUCAGGAGGAACACCGGUGGCGAAGGCGGUUCUCUGGGCAUUACCUGACGCUGAGGAGCGAAAGUGUGGGGAGCGAACAGG
rnacentral:rRNA from 1 species